rnacentral:rRNA from 1 species
AUUGAACGCUGGCGGAAUGCUUUACACAUGCAAGUCGAACGGCAGCACGGGGGCAACCCUGGUGGCGAGUGGCGAACGGGUGAGUAAUACAUCGGAACGUGCCCGGUCGUGGGGGAUAACGUAGCGAAAGUUACGCUAAUACCGCAUACGAUCUGAGGAUGAAAGCGGGGGACCUUCGGGCCUCGCGCGAUCGGAGCGGCCGAUGUCAGAUUAGGUAGUUGGUGGGGUAAAGGCCUACCAAGCCGACGAUCUGUAGCUGGUCUGAGAGGACGACCAGCCACACUGGGACGGAGACACGGCCCAGACUCCUACGGGAGGCAGCAGUGGGGAAUUUUGGACAAAGGGCGCAAGCCUGAUCCAGCCAUUCCGCGUGCAGGACGAAGGCCUUCGGGUUGUAAACUGCUUUUGUAUGGAACGAAAAGGCUCUGGCUAAUACCUGGGGCUCAUGACGGUACCGUAAGAAUAAGCACCGGCUAACUACGUG